AACUGCUGCUAAAUUUCCGGGCAUCCUUCGGAGACAGUCUGCAUUCCGACAUCCCACUCGCCGAGCCGCUCCCUGGGCAGGGACGCCUCCCGUGCACACGCUUUCUCUGCAGAUGUGCUUUCUUCCGAGGGUGGCAUCAGAUGCUCUGGGGGCGAGAAUUCACCAGCCGCAAUGAAUGGCUGGCACCUCCCGGGCCCACCCUCAGGAACCUUCUCAGAAAACCACCACCUAGAGGUUCACCCCCCCCCAUCCCUCUCCCUUCAGAUUUCCUCAGUCACCCAACCCUACACCCCCUUCCUUCCCUGUACGUGCAGCCGUGGUGACGCCACCAUGUCAUCCGCCCUUCGUUCCUCUUUAAGACCAUACCUUCUUCUAAAUCGCUCACAAGGAGUUCCCUUCAUGGCUCAGCGGUUAAGGAACCCGGCUAGGAUCUAUGAGGAUGCCGGUUCGAUCCCUGGCCUCGCCCAGUGGGCAACUUGGGAUCCGAGGUGUGUCUGUGACCUACACCACAGCUCACGGCAACGCCGGAUCGUUAACCCACUGAGCAAGGCCAGGGAUCGGACCCCCAACCUCAUGGUUCCUAGUCGGAUUCGUUAACCACUGUGCCACGAUAUGAACUCCCCAGUGAUACAGCUCUUCUUGCAACCGUCCAAGGUGAUAAAUUCCUAGAGCAGAGAUGGGCUGUGGGUCAGGAAUCCUCAACAGAGACGAAAUCAUGGUGUCCGGCGAGAGGGCGAGAAGGAACAUGAGCAGGAAAUAGGAAGUCCUGGUUUUCACUGAGAGGACAGGCUUGCAGGUGCCACCAUGUGCAAGUUGUGACUCUUUUUUUUUUUUUUUUUUUUUUUUUUUUUUGUCUUUUUGCCAUUUCUUGGGCCGCUCCUGCGGCAUAUGGAGAUUCCCAGACUAGGGGUCGAAUCGGAGCUGCAGCUGCUGGCCUAUGCCUGAGCCACAGCAACGUGGGAUCCAAGCUGCGUCUGCAACCUACACCACAGUUCACGGCAACACCGGAUCCUUCACCCACUGAGCAAGGCCAGGGAUGGAACCCAUAACCUCAUGGUUCCUAGUUGGGUUCGUUAACCACUGCACCACGACAGGAACUCCACAAGUUGUGACUCUUGAGUUCUGUGAGGGAGGGGGAGAGGAGAGCAUGAGCCUUCCUUUUCAGGGGAAAUAAAUCACCAAGAAGGAGUGUUUUAUAGAGGGAACCCGACAUGCCCGUCACUUCUGUUUCCUGAAGCCAGAGACAUGCAGAAUAAGGCCCCCAUCUGGGGAGGUGAACAGGGAGCCGCAGUUUAAGUGGUCUUCUAGAACAUGCCAUCUAGAAAGGGAACAGUGAGCUGCCAGGCACAAGGGUGGGCAAAGCAGACGGGAGGUCACAGCAACCUUUGGGAAAACGUCUCCCCAAAGACUGUUUAUUUGUUGAAAGAGUAACCUCAUUCAUCCUCUCCAGCCAUGCGUCAACACCCCUGUGCUCGCCAAAGGAGCACUCGCCAGCACCAGCGAUGCCCAUGGGAGGGUCCAGAGCCUUUAGACCCGACACCACAGAGAACCUGCUUCUCGUGGGCAGACCACGGGGUAGAGCAGCCUGGGAAACGCCAGCUUCACAAACUCAGUUACCUUGCAGUUCCCUCCUGAGGCCGUCCUCGCCUCGCCAGAAAAGGGAAUGAAGACCCCCAAUCAGGGAGUUCCCACUGUGACACGACAGGGUUGGUGGUGUCUCUGCAGCACCAGGAUGCAGGUUCAGUCCCCCGCCAGGCUCUGUGGGUUAAAGGAUCCAGCACCGUCACCAGCUGUGGCGUAGGCCAUAGGCCUCGACCGUGGCCCUGAUCUGAUUCCCGGCACAGGAACGCCUUAUGCCGAGGCGGCCAAAAAAAAGAAAAAAAAGAAAGAAAGAACCACAUCAGUCAGCAACAGCGGUGUAGAUGCAAAUUUAAAAAUUCAAAACCUUUUUUUUUUUUUUUUUUUUUUUUUUUUUUACUAUUUCACAGUUUACAAAGUCCCUUCACAAAUAGGUUUUCAUUUGAUUCGCACAGCAGUCAUGUGAGCGAGGCCAACCAGAAAGAAAGAGGUGCCCCUGUUUCUGUUUUACAGGGGAGGCAGGCGGGCCGGUGGAGAGCUGCAGACCUGCAGGGCUAUGUCCUUUCCAAGGGCUGAAGCCAGCACUGAAUCCCUCCUGUUCAGACCCUCUGCCUUUUCUGACCUGGAACCUCAAGACGCCAGACAAACCCCACCUAUAAAAGAAAUGUCAGAUCACAGAGAAUUCACAUAAAAUUACUUGAAAGGGCUCCUGCCUUUCAUCCCAGGCUGUCCUUCUUGCUGCUGGCGUAGCCACCAAAUGUCACAGCUUCCGUGCCCAAAGCCUUGCCAGAGAGAACACGUUGCUGGCCUGCGGGGCGGGGGUUGGGACCAAAGCCAUGGGAUCUGGACGGGGAGGCGGGGUGAUUAAACAGGCCUUUGUGUCCAUUCAGGAAUGGUCUCCAGGAUCCCACUUAUUUUUGCUUUCCAAAUAAAUAUAUAUCAGAAAGGAUGGCUGAGGGCCGUCUAGAAAAUUAGAAUUUGCUUGGGGUGGGGGCGGGAUGUGUUCUGGAAAAGAUAAACAGUAGCUUGCUGUUUCACUGCUGGAACAUUUGUUACAAGGUCCUGGUAUUGAUCUUUUAUCACCCAAUUUCCACCGGGAGCCGUGAUCUACGACCAUGCGGGGAAGCACUAAUGCAACGGCGUGAAUCAAGGGAAGCCCACGACGGCUCCGCAGCCUGGAUGCAGCCAUCUGCGGGGCGGAGGGUGGGGAGAGGGCGGCGCCGGCUGCAGAAUUCCAAGGGGAGCUUCGCGUGCGUCGUGCGGUGUGCAAAUGCAUAUCCAGGCUGGGGAGUGUUAUGGGUUUAUGAGGAGAGUGAUUAAAAUUGUAUCAAAGAGGCUCGUGAAGCUUAUGGUUCAAGUUAACUGUAUGAAGUAAACAGCCUUUAACGGCCUCCUGGGAGUGCGACAGAUAGUCUGUGGGUGUUACGGCAACAUGGUACUGGUGCGUGUUCUGGCCAUCCCAAACUAAUCACCAUCUGCGAGCAUGGGUCUCUGGGGAGCGUCUGGUGGUUGGACAAUCAUGGUAGUUAGCAUUUUUAAUCAGCUUCUGUGCCGCACAGAUAGAAACCUUAUGCUCAAGCCUUUCUUUUUCCUGUCCGUGUAGAAUUACUUAGGAUGAUGACAGCCCAGCGCGCAAGGACUUGGGAUGUGUUUCUGCAAGAUGCCUUUUGUGGUUCUCCCCACUCCCUUUUCGGUACCCCCGAGCCUAACCGUGAAAAUUCCCCAGUCCUCUUGCUCAUGGUCCUUGUUGUCACUGCUUCUUUUUGCCACGAGCAGACGGGACCGGCGGGGGUGGGGGGAGGCGUGGAGAGGAGGUUGUUUCUGUAUUCAGAGGGACGUGCUGUCUCCUUCUUCCCCGUCUGACUGCCCCCUUCAGUCCUCCACUCCUACCCCUGCUCCUACCGUCAGGCACUGACACCUUUUUUUCCUGCUGUUGUUGUUUGGGGGAGAUACCUCUUGAAGCCUAUAGGACACCCUCUAGGGACCAAGGCAUGAGGGAAGGUUGCUGGUACCAUCCUUGGGAGCCCAACUUGGUCAUUGAUUCCACCCGCAUUUAAAACCAUGGGUGCUCGCCUUCUUGGUUUCUUUUCCCUUCGAUCCCAGUUCUGAGUGGACGGUAGUUCCCAUCCUGGUAGCUGUGCAUGGUUAUGGCAGGAGAAGACCAGAGGGUCCGUCAGCACAGAGGGCAGAGCCUCUGAUCCAGGGUUUGCCUCCGUAUCUUACUGAAUUUAAAGAAAGCAGCCCCAGUGUCGGGGCAGCCGCAAAGCAAAGGAUCCAUCAUUGUCAUGAACUGUGGUGUAGGUCGCAGACACGGCUGUGGUGUAGGCUGGCAGCUACAGCUCUGAUUCGACCUCUAGCCUGGGAACCUCCAUAUAUUGUAGGUGUGGCCCUAUAAAGCAAAAAAAAGAAAAAAAAAAAAA
rnacentral:lncRNA from 1 species